rnacentral:rRNA from 1 species
GAUGAACGCUGGCGGCGUGCCUAAUACAUGCAAGUCGAGCGAACAGACGAGGAGCUUGCUCCUCUGACGUUAGCGGCGGACGGGUGAGUAACACGUGGAUAACCUACCUAUCAGUCUGGGAUAACUUCGGGAAACCGGCGCUAAUCCCGGAUAAUAUAUUGAACCGCAUGGUUCAAUAGUGAAAGACGGUUUUGCUGUCACUUAUAGAUGGAUCCGCGCCGCAUUAGCUAGUUGGUAAGGUAACGGCUUACCAAGGCAACGAUGCGUAGGCGACCUGAGAGAGGGAUCGGCGACACGGGAACGUAGACACGGUCCAGACUCCUAAGGUAGGCAGCAGUAGGGAAUCGUCCGCAAUGGUCGAAAGCCUGGCGGAGCAACGCCGCGUGAGAGAUGAAGGUCUUGGGAGCGUAAAACUCUGUUAUUAGGGAAGAACAAAUGUGUAAGUAACUAUGCACGUCUUGACGGUACCUAGUCAGAAAGCCACGGCUAACUACGUG